AGAUGUAUGAUAAAAGCAAAUGUGAUAUACUAAGUGUUGGCCUUAGAUUUUAUUUUCAUCUUCUCUUGACCUUGAGCUUGGAGCAUCAGUGACACAAGAGCAAUAGAAGACCAGAAACAGUAGCACAUUGGCAACAGAAACAACAGGACUGCCAAUAGAAAAAGCAGUAGCAGCACAUCGACAACAGAUCAGCAACAUGCUAGCCAGAAAUAAGUAACAUGCAG
rnacentral:lncRNA from 1 species